GUUCUUUUAUUAAAGAAGAAAAAAUGANGAAAAAUCAUUCUGACGGUAUUUAAUGAAUAAGCCCCGGCUAACUAUGUGCCAGCAGCUGCGGUAAUACAUGGGGGGCAAGCGUUAUCCGGAUUUAUUGGGCGUAAAGGGUGCGUAGGCGGUUAAAUAAGUCUAUGGUAUAAGUUCAACGCUUAACGUUGUGAUGCUAUAGAAACUGUUUGACUAGAGUUGGAUAGAGGCAAGUGGAAUUCCAUGUGUAGCGGUAAAAUGCGUAAAUAUAUGGAGGAACACCAGUAGCGAAGGCGGCUUGCUGGGUCUUAACUGACGCUGAGGCACGAAAGCGUGGGGAGCAAACAGGAUUAGAUACCCUGGUAGUCCACGCCGUAAACGAUGAGUACUAAGUGUUGGGUUAAACCAGUGCUGAAGUUAACACAUUAAGUACUCCGCCUGAGUAGUACGUACGCAAGUAUGAAACUUAAAGGAAUUGACGGGACUCCGCACAAGCGGUGGAUCAUGUUGUUUAAUUCGAAGAUACACGAAAAACCUUACCAGGUCUUGACAUACUCUGCAAAGCUAUAGAAAUAUAGUGGAGGUUAUCAGGGAUACAGGUGGUGCAUGGUUGUCGUCAGCUCGUGUCGUGAGAUGUUGGGUUAAGUCCCGCAACGAGCGCAACCCUUAUCACUAGUUACCAUCAUUUAGUUGGGCACUUUAGUGAGACUGCCAAUGAUAAAUUGGAGGAAGGUGGGGAUUACGUCAAAUCAUCAUGCCCCU
rnacentral:rRNA from 1 species